GGGAGCGAUCAUACCAGCACUAAUGCACCGGAUCCCAUCAGAACUCCGCAGUUAAGCGUGCUUGGGCGAGAGUAGUACUAGGAUGGGUGACCUCCUGGGAAGUCCUCGUGUUGCACCCA
rnacentral:rRNA from 1 species